rnacentral:rRNA from 1 species
CCGCACAAGCGGUGGAGCAUGUGGUUAAUUCGACGCAACGCGAAGAACUUACCAGGGCUUGACAUCCCCUGACCGCGUAUGAAAGUACGUUUUCACCCUCGGGUGACAGGGAGACAGGUGGUGCAUGGUUGUCGUCAGCUCGUGUCGUGAGAUGUUGGGUUAAGUCCCGCAACGAGCGCAACCCCUACGUUUAGUUGCUAACGCGUGAAGGCGAGCACUCUAGACGAACUGCCGUUGACAAAACGGAGGAAGGUGGGAUGACGUCAAAUCAUCAUGCCCCUUAUGUUCUGGGCUACACACGUGCUACAAUGGCCGGUACAGACGGACGCAAAGCCGCGAGGUGGAGCAAAUCCUAAAAAGCCGGUCUCAGUUCGGAUUGCAGGCUGCAAUUCGCCUGCAUGAAGUCGGAAUCGCUAGUAAUCGCAGGUCAGCAUACUGCGGUGAAUACGUUCCCGGGCCUU